AUUGAACGCUGGCGGCAGGCUUAACACAUGCAAGUCGAGCGAGCGGCGGACGGGUGAGUAAUGUCUGGGAAACUGCCUGAUGGAGGGGGAUAACUACUGGAAACGGUAGCUAAUACCGCAUACCAUCAGAUGUGCCCAGAUGGGAUUAGCUAGUAGGUGGGGUAAUGGCUCACCUAGGCGACGAUCCCUAGCUGGUCUGAGAGGAGGACAAGCCACCCUGGAGCUGAAACACGGACCAAACUCCGACGGGAGGCAGCGGUGGGGCAUAUUGCACAAUGGGCGCAAGCCUGAUGCGGACAUGCCGCGUGUGUGAAGAAGGCCUUCGGGUUGUGAAGCACUUUCAGCGGGGAAGCGUUACUCGCAGAAGAAGCACCGGCUAACUCCGUGCCAGCAGCCGCGGUAAUUC
rnacentral:rRNA from 1 species